rnacentral:rRNA from 1 species
UACGUAGGGCGCAAGCGUUGUCCGGAAUUAUUGGGCGUAAAGAGCUCGUAGGUGGUUUGUCGCGUCUGCCGUGAAAGCCCGGGGCUUAACUCCGGGUCUGCGGUGGAUACGGGCAGACUAGAGGCAGGUAGGGGAGAACGGAAUUCCUGGUGUAGCGGUGAAAUGCGCAGAUAUCAGGAGGAACACCGGUGGCGAAGGCGGGUCUCUGGGCCGAUACUGACGCUGAGGAGCGAAAGCGUGGGGAGCGAACAGG